UACGUAGGGUGCGAGCGUUGUCCGGAAUUAUUGGGCGUAAAGCGCGCGUAGGCGGCUUUGUAAGUUAGAGGUGAAAGCCCGGGGCCCAACCCCGGAACUGCCUUUAAGACUGCAUCGCUUGAAUCCAGGAGAGGUGAGUGGAAUUCCGAGUGUAGAGGUGAAAUUCGUAGAUAUUCGGAAGAACACCAGUGGCGAAGGCGGCUCACUGGCCUGGUAUUGACGCUGAGGUGCGAAAGCGUGGGGAGCAAACAGG
rnacentral:rRNA from 1 species